rnacentral:misc_RNA from 1 species
CCAAACUUGGUCAUUUAGAGGAAGUAAAAGUCGUAACAAGGUUUCCGUAGGUGAACCUGCGGAAGGAUCAUUAACGAGUUUGAAACGGGUUGUAGCUGGCCUUCCGAGGCAUGUGCACGCCCUGCUCAUCCACUCUACACCUGUGCACUUACUGUGGGUUUCGAUAAUCGUUGUAUGGCUCCUUACGGGGUGCUGUAUGCGGUGAAUCGGAGCUCACGUUUUAUCACAAACACUUUAGUAUCAGAAUGUAUACCGCGAUAUAAACGCAUUAUAAUACAACUUUCAGCAACGGAUCUCUUGGCUCUCGCAUCGAUGAAGAACGCAGC